rnacentral:rRNA from 1 species
CUUUACCAUGCGGGCAACCGUGAUAAGGAACCCGAGUGCCAGCACAGGCUGGCUGUCCGCCAGUUUAAAUAACUGGUGAAGAAAGGGCCGGGCAAGACCGGUGCCAGCCGCCGCGGUAACACCGGCGGCUCGAGUGGUAACCGUUAUUAUUGGGUCUAAAGGGUCUGUAGCCGGCCGGAUAAGUCUCUUGAGAAAUCUGGCAGCUUAACUGUCAGGCUUUCAGGAGAUACUGUCUGGCUCGAGGCCGGGAGAGGUGAGAGGUACUUCAGGGGUAGGGGUGAAAUCUUGUAAUCCUUGAAGGACCACCAGUGGCGAAGGCGUCUCACCAGAACGGACCUGACGGCAAGGGACGAAAGCUAGGGGCACGAACCGG